rnacentral:tRNA from 1 species
GGUGUGGCUCAGUGGUAGAGCACUCGCCUAGCACGUGAGGGACACUGAGUUCGAUCUUCAGCACCA